rnacentral:rRNA from 1 species
AUAAUGGGUCAGCGACUUAUAUUCUGUAGCAAGGUUAACCGAAUAGGGGAGCCGAAGGGAAACCGAGUCUUAACUGGGCGUUAAGUUGCAGGGUAUAGACCCGAAACCCGGUGAUCUAGCCAUGGGCAGGUUGAAGGUUGGGUAACACUAACUGGAGGACCGAACCGACUAAUGUUGAAAAAUUAGCGGAUGACUUGUGGCUGGGGGUGAAAGGCCAAUCAAACCGGGAGAUAGCUGGUUCUCCCCGAAAGCUAUUUAGGUAGCGCCUCGUGAAUUCAUCUCCGGGGGUAGAGCACUGUUUCGGCAAGGGGGUCAUCCCGACUUACCAACCCGAUGCAAACUGCGAAUACCGGAGAAUGUUAUCACGGGAGACACACGGCGGGUGCUAACGUCCGUCGUGAAGAGGGAAACAACCCAGACCGCCAGCUAAGGUCCCAAAGUCAUGGUUAAGUGGGAAACGAUGUGGGAAGGCCCAGACAGCCAGGAUGUUGGCUUA